rnacentral:rRNA from 1 species
CGCUGGCGGCGCGCCUAACACAUGCAAGUCGAACGAGCGAGAGAGUAGCUUGCUUUCUCAAGCGAGUGGCGAACGGGUGAGUAACGCGUGAGGAACCUGCCUCAAAGAGGGGGACAACAGUUGGAAACGACUGCUAAUACCGCAUAAGCCCACGGCUCGGCAUCGAGCAGAGGGAAAAGGAGCAAUCCGCUUUGAGAUGGCCUCGCGUCCGAUUAGCUAGUUGGUGAGGUAACGGCCCACCAAGGCAACGAUCGGUAGCCGGACUGAGAGGUUGAACGGCCACAUUGGGACUGAGACACGGCCCAGACUCCUACGGGAGGCAGCAGUGGGGAAUAUUGCACAAUGGGGGAAACCCUGAUGCAGCGACGCCGCGUGGAGGAAGAAGGUCUUCGGAUUGUAAACUCCUGUUGUUGGGGAAGAUAAUGACGGUACCCAACAAGGAAGUGACGGCUAACUACGUG